AUCCCCCCAUUUCACAGGUGAGAGGCAGAGCUGGACCCAGAAGCAGAGCUGAACCUGAACCAUGAACUAGUCUGUGUCCAGACUCCACAGACCACCCGGCUUCACUUCAACUAUAAACAUCCCAUUCUUGUCUCUCCACCAGCAAUGAGUUAAUCUCCUUUCAACCAACACCUGUCCAGGAAAAUCAAGGAGCUGGAGAAAGGGGUGUAGCAAAGACCAGAGGAAAUAACAGAAUGUGGUUGAUUGAAAAAGGCAUGAAACCAAACCAAGAACCACACUGCGGGUAGAGACCGUUACAGAAAACCAUAGCUGGUCAAAGGACAGAGAACAGCUUACCAUCUACAAUGGAUUCAUCACAACACAGUUAGGUCCUCAACGCCUACACCUGGGUUUUGGGAGCAUCAGGGAAGAAGAGCCUGACAGCCAAAUGACCAGGAAAUCUACUGUGAGACUCUGUCUCCUAGAAAUGACAGAGAAGCUUGACACCUCAACAAUGUGGCUG